UUUAAUUCGAUGGUAAGCGAAGAACCUUACCAGGGCUUGAAAUGAAUAGGACAGUCUGUGAAAGCAGAUCUCCCUUCGGGGUCUAUUUAUAGGUGUUGCAUGGUUGUCGUCAGCUCGUGCCGUGAGGUGUUGGGUUAAGUCCCGCAACGAGCGCAACCCUUGUUUAUAGUUGCCAUCAUUUAGUUGGGCACUCUAUAGAGACUGCCAGCGUUAAGCUGGAGGAAGGUGGGGAUGACGUCAAAUCAUCACGGCCCUUAUGUCCUGGGCUACACACAUGCUACAAUGGGUAGUACAAAGGGUUACGAAGCAGUGAUGUGGAGUUAAUCUCAAAGAGCUAUCCUCAGUUCGGAUUGUAGGCUGAAACCCGCCUACAUGAAGUUGGAAUCGCUAGUAAUCGCAGGUCAGCCAUACUGCGGUGAAUACGUUCUCGGUCCUUGUACACACCGCCCGU
rnacentral:rRNA from 1 species